rnacentral:rRNA from 1 species
AUACGGAGGAUCCGAGCGUUAUCCGGAUUUAUUGGGUUUAAAGGGAGCGUAGGUGGACAGUUAAGUCAGUUGUGAAAGUUUGCGGCUCAACCGUAAAAUUGCAGUUGAUACUGGCUGUCUUGAGGACAGGAGAGGUGGGCGGAAUUCGUGGUGUAGCGGGGAAAUGCUUAGAUAUCACGAAGAACUCCGAUUGCGAAGGCAGCUCACUGGACUGCAACUGACACUGAUGCUCGAAAGUGUGGGUAUCAAACAGGAUUAGAUACCCUGGUAGUCCACACAGUAAACGAUGAAUACUCGCUGUUUGCGAUAUACAGUAAGCGGCCAAGCGAAAGCAUUAAGUAUUCCACCUGGGGAGUACGCCGGCAACGGUGAAACUCAAAGGAAUUGACGGGG